AUGGACGAGGCAAGCUCAGACGCCGCCGCAAAGGCCGCGGCCGUGCGGGCUGUCGCCGUUUCCUGGGUUGCGCCGUCGAUGCUCGGGGAGGGGCAGCGCGGGGAACGCCUGAAACUUUCCUUCCUUGAUUCGUUGUGGGUCGUGCUGCCUCCGAUCCAGCGGGUGUUCCUGUACCAGCUUGGGGAGGACGGCGGCGACGGCUUCCAGUUCCAGGCGGUGGUCGAGCGACUCAAGCGCGCUCUCGCGGACACGCUGGCGCACUACCUCCCCCUGGCGGGGACGCUGGAGUACGAGGUGGAGACCGGGGACGCCUUCGUGGACUGCACCAACGCCGGGGUCGCCUUCCUCGAGGCCGAGGGCGACAUGGAUGUGCGGCGUCUAGCUGGCGACGAGGCGCACGACAUCCUCGCAUUCCUGAGCCUCGUGCCGGAGCUGGAUGCCCGGGUGCUCCCGGCGCCCGUGCUGUCAGUACAGGCUACUCGUCUAAGCGCCGGCCUGGCGGUCGGCCUGUCCGUGCACCACGCCGUCGCCGACGGACGCACCGUGUGGCGAUUCAUGGAGGCAUGGUCUUCCGCUUCCCGUGAGGGCUCCCCAGUCACCAAGGUCCUCGGCCCGCCACACUACAGCCGCGACGUCAUCCAUCACGCGAACGCCGACGAGCUCGCCCGCGAGAUGCUAAAGACCGUCGGGCCCAAUCUCCCAGAGGUGAGAGGACAGCACGACUUCAGCCAGCGGUUCCUGCUGGCGCGCCGGACGUUCUACCUCGGCACCGACGACAUCCAGUCGCUUAGGCGGCGGAUCGACGACCUCGCCUCCGCCGAGGCUGCCGCCGCCGGUGGCGACGCGCCCAAGCUGAAACCGGUGUCGACGUUCGUGGCGCUGGCGGCGCUGAGCUGGACGGCGUUCGUUCGUUCCAAGGGGCUCGGCGCCGGGGACGACACGUACCUGGUGUUCCUCGCCGACCUGCGCUCCCGCCUCGACCCGCAUGUGAGCGAGGCUUACCUCGGCAACUGCGUGCGCGCGUGCCUGGCGACCUGCGCCGACGCGGCGGAUCUCCUCGGCCAGGCGGGCAUCCUCCGCGCGGCGCGGGCUGUGCAGGCCGCGGUGGCGGAGAUGGAGGCGGCGCCGCUGUCCGGGACGGACAAGGGGUGGAUGCAGAAGCUGAUGCGGCUGCCGUUUCAGCGGCUGACGAACGUGGCGGCGAGCCCUCGAUUCAGGGCCUACGAGGCGGCUGGCUUCGGGUUCGGCAAGCCCGCGCGCGUGGAGCUGGUAUCCAUGAACCACGACGGCGAGAUGGUGCUCGUCGGCGGCCGGCGAGAUGGCGACGUGCAAGCCUCCGUGUCGAUCGACCCGGCGCACAUGGACGCAUUCAAGGCCUGCAUCCACGGGUAG
rnacentral:rRNA from 1 species